rnacentral:miRNA from 1 species
ACUUUUAAAAUCGGCUAUCUAAGAACCGAUUUUAAAAACUACAUACAAAAUCGGCUCAUAGAUAGCCGAUGUUAAAAAU